rnacentral:lncRNA from 1 species
UAUUCCAUAGUGAUGACAAGAUUGGGUAGAUUGGACAUGAUUACUAAGAGGAGGGCCAGGGGUAGAGAUAGGUACCAUGUAAGGUCUCUUCUCGACGCAGUUGGAAUCAAGGCUAGUAGGCCUCCUUCUCUGUUGCUUCUGUUGCUGUUGUGUAUGAAAAUGGGAGAGGCGCUGUUGUUUGGCCGCAACAAGUCCUUCGGUCGUCUAUGUGUGCUU